UGGGGAAUUUUGGACAAUGGGCGCAAGCCUGAUCCAGCCGUGCCGCGUGCGGGAAGAAGGCCUUCGGGUUGUAAACCGCUUUUGUCAGGGAAGAAAUCUUCUGAGUUAAUACCUCGGGAGGAUGACGGUACCUGAAGAAUAAGCACCGGCUAACUACGUGCCAGCAGCCGCGGUAAUACGUAGGGUGCAAGCGUUAAUCGGAAUUACUGGGCGUAAAGCGUGCGCAGGCGGUUUUGUAAGACAGAGGUGAAAUCCCCGGGCUCAACCUGGGAACUGCCUUUGUGACUGCAAGGCUUGAGUGCGGCAGAGGGGGAUGGAAUUCCGCGUGUAGCAGUGAAAUGCGUAGAUAUGCGGAGGAACACCGAUGGCGAAGGCAAUCCCCUGGGCCUGCACUGACGCUCAUGCACGAAAGCGUGGGGAGCAAACAGGAUUAGAUACCCUGGUAGUCCACGCCCUAAAACGAUGUCAACUGGUUGUUGGGAAGGUUCCUUCUCAGUAACGUAGCUAACGCGUGAAGUUGACCGCCUGGGGAGUACGGCCGCAA
rnacentral:rRNA from 1 species